rnacentral:rRNA from 1 species
AAUGGGGGAAACCCUGAUCCAGCAAUGCCGCGUGGGUGAUGAAGGCCUUCGGGUUGUAAAGCCCUUUCGGCGGGGACGAUGAUGACGGUACCCGCAGAAGAAGCCCCGGCUAACUUCGUGCCAGCAGCCGCGGUAAUACGAAGGGGGCUAGCGUUGUUCGGAAUUACUGGGCGUAAAGGGCGCGUAGGCGGCUUGUCUAGUCGGGCGUGAAAAGCCUGGGCUUAACCCGGGAACUGCGCUCGAUACUGAUAGGCUUGAGUGUGGGAGAGGAUGGUGGAAUUCCCAGUGUAGAGGUGAAAUUCGUAGAUAUUGGGAAGAACACCGGUGGCGAAGGCGGCCAUCUGGACCACAACUGACGCUGAGGCGCGAAAGCGUGGGGAGCAAA